rfam:Camelus ferus unplaced genomic scaffold scaffold1815, whole genome shotgun sequence.
GAGGGUAUAGCUCAGUGGUACAGUGCAUGCUUAGCAUGCACGAGAUCCUGGGUUCAAUCCCUAGUGCCUUCA